GUUAUCAUUUUAGACAGUCAUAUCAUUCUAUUCCAGUCUCUGAUUUCUAGGAAUGUAUGGUUGCUAUGGUAAUUUACAUCCUAGCAACCACAUUUUCAAAAUCGUCUACUGUAGAGCUUAUAUAAAAAAAAACAGAAUAUUGGGUACCAGAGGAAAACAUUACUUUAAGGUUAACAAACCCUUUAACUUCAGUGUGUAAAAGUGUGAAGCAACAUAUGUAGAGCCUACAGCACCUGUAUUGUCACUUAUUACAUUCUGUGCUUCUCACAUCAUUGCAAACAGGGCCUUUGUGUCAUGUAUUUAACUUUUCAACCUUAGCAUCUCCCUUGCAGUGCCCUGAUAGACUCCACUUGGACUUUAACAUAUCGUUUCCUCGCCCAUUACAUUUGAGUUAUUAUUUUAAAGGCUAACUUAAAUAUUUCAGAAACAUGUUGUAGGUUUGUCCAUCAGCCUAAUAAACAAGUACAAUUGUAGUAGCUUAUGACUGACAAAUUUAUUUUGCACAUUUCUUAACAAUUGCAGCACCACCGCGGACAGCGCCACAACCCACGGACAGUGACCAGGACCUUGAUCCUCAGCAGCCCCAGGAAGAGGGUGAGGCUGCAGAGAGCCCUAGAGCCCCACAAGCUCAAGAACAUCGAGCUCCCCGGCGUGCCCAGUCGCCAGCUGUGCUACCUGUGGUGCCCCCCAGACGUGAUGCUGCUGAAGCAGGUGCUGCAGCUCCUGUUGCUGCUGCACCAAUUGGAGGACCACCACAGGAGCAACCACAGCGACUGGAUGAGAGACGUGGGCACUAUGUGGGGCUUAUGGGAAUUCUCAUACAACAGCAACGCCGCCACAGUCUCUGGAUGCGAAGAUGGUUUGCUCACAUGCAUGCCGCCUUCCGUGAUGGUAUGCAGAGCAUGGAGCAAACCCUCCAAAGAAGCAUCCAGGACCUGGUGGCGGCUAUUCGAGAACUGCCUCACCAACCACGGGGUUCUGCUGAGGGUCCAGUCCCUGGUCCUGCUGCUGCUCCCCCUACUCCCCCUGCAUCUCCUCAGCAGCGCAGAGGAAGGGGGCGUGGAAGGGGACAAGGUCCUGUCCGAGGGGAUAAGCGCAAACGUCCCUAGCUCCAGUCUGUGUCACUUCUCAAACUGACACUGGCCUCUUUGCCCAUUUUAUCCUGGCAAAGAACUUCGCCCAAUUCACGCUUCAGGUGUGACUUUGUCCGUUACCCAGCAAUGGGACUGACAUCCAAACAACACAUCCCAUUGUUUAGACCAUGCUGCAUUCUCUUCACUGAGGGGUGCCAUUUUAAGAUCUAUUGGCACCCUUUCCAAUAACAUCU